GACGAACCGUGCGAACGUUAUUCGGAAUCACUGGGCUUAAAGGGCGCGUAGGCGGGCUGACAAGUCUGGGGUGAAAUACCACGGCUCAACCGUGGAACUGCCUUAGAUACUGUCGGCCUCGAGGGAGGUAGGGGCGUGCGGAACUGUAGGUGGAGCGGUGAAAUGCGUUGAUAUCUACAGGAACUCCGGUGGCGAAAGCGGCGCGCUGGACCUCUUCUGACGCUGAGGCGCGAAAGCUAGGGGAGCAAACAGG
rnacentral:rRNA from 1 species